UACGUAGGGUGCGAGCGUUAAUCGGAAUUACUGGGCGUAAAGCGUGCGCAGGCGGUUCGUUAAGUUCGUUGUGAAAGCCCCGGGCUCAACCUGGGAACUGGCAAUGGAAACUGGCGGGCUUGAAUGCGGCAGAGGGGGAUGGAAUUCCGCGUGUAGCAGUGAAAUGCGUAGAUAUGCGGAGGAACACCGGUGGCGAAGGCGGCAUCCUGGACCAACACUGACACUGAGGAGCGAAAGCCAGGGGAGCAAACGGG
rnacentral:rRNA from 1 species